UGAGGAAUAUUCGUCAAUGGGGGAAACCCUGAACGAGCAACGCCGCGUGGAGGAUGAAGGCCUUCGGGUCGUAAACUUCUUUUAGGGGAGACGAGAAAGGACGGUAUCCCCGGAAUCAGUCACGGCUAACUACGUGCCAGCAGCCGCGGUAAUACGUAGGUGACGAGCGUUAUCCGGAUUUACUGGGCGUAAAGCGCUUGUAGGUGGUUUCGUAAGUUGGGCGUGAAAUCUCUGGGCUUAACCCGGAGAGGCCGUUCAAUACUGCGAGGCUAGAGGAUGUCAGAGGAAGGUGGAAUUCCUGGUGUAGUAGUGAAAUGCGUAGAUAUCAGGAGGAACACCCGUGGCGAAGGCGACCUUCUAGGACGUGCCUGACACUGAGAAGCGAAAGCCAGGGGAGCAAACAGGAUUAGAAACCCUGGUAGUCCUGGCUGUAAACGAUGAAUACUAGGUGUAGGCGGCGUAAAACCUGUCUGUGCCGAAGCUAACGCGUUAAGUAUUCCGCCUGGGAAGUACGAUCGCAAGAUUA
rnacentral:rRNA from 1 species